ACGCCGUGUAGCUCCGCGGAUUUGGCGCGGGGGUAUCCACGGUCCCGCCAAACCGGGACGAGACCACGGGGA
rnacentral:ncRNA from 1 species